rnacentral:rRNA from 1 species
GAUGAACGCUGGCGGCGUGCCUAAUACAUGCAAGUCGAGCGAACAGACGAGGAGCUUGCUCCUCUGACGUUAGCGGCGGACGGGUGAGUAACACGUGGAUAACCUACCUAUAAGACUGGGAUAACUUCGGGAAACCGGAGCUAAUACCGGAUAAUAUAUUGAACCGCAUGGUUCAAUAGUGAAAGACGGUUUUGCUGUCACUUAUAGAUGGAUCCGCGCCGCAUUAGCUAGUUGGUAAGGUAACGGCUUACCAAGGCAACGAUGCGUAGCCGACCUGAGAGGGGGAAUCGGCCAACAGGAAAUGAGAACCGGGUCCAAACUCCAAGGGAGGGAAGAGGGGGGAAAUUUGGCCGAGGGGGGGAAGGCCGAACGGGGCAGCGCGGGGGGGGGGAGAAGGGUCUUGGAUUGGUAAAACCUUGUUAUUGGGAGAAAAGAAAGGGAGAAAAAACUAGGCCGGUUUGGAGGGUCCCAAAUCAGAAGCCCAGGGCAAACUAGGU